AGUAGCCAACGCAAUCUGAUGUUGAACCUGUUAGGCCAUACGUUAUUCAUCCUUGUGACCUGGUACUUACUACGCGGUACUCCUAUACGAACUAUCUUACACGUUUACGAGUAAAGUGGAGAACCCCGUC